AAACUAGGAUUAGAUACCCUAUUAUUUAAAUUUGAAUUUAUAUCUCUUUUUAGGAAUUUAGUUAGAUAAAAAAUUAAAUUGAUUUGGCGGUUUAUUAAACUUUUUAGAGGAACCUGUAAAUUAAAUUGAUAAACCACGAUUAAUUUUACUUUAAUUUUCUUGUAUAUCUCUAUUAUUGAAUAUAUUUAAAGAUAAAUCUUCUUUUUUUAAAUUUUAACAUUAAAUUAGGCCAAGGUGCAGUUAUAUAAAUGGUUUAAUGGGUUACAUUAAUUUAAGUUUGUAGAAAAUUUAUUUAGAUAAAUUUAAAAUUGGAUUUAAUAGUAAAAUUUUUUAUUUAAAUGUUUGAAUAAUGCUCUGAUUUAUGUACAUAUCGCCCGUCAUUCUCAUUAAUUGAGACAAGUCGUAACAAAGUAGAUGUAUUGGAAAAUGUAUCUAGCGGAUA
rnacentral:rRNA from 1 species